rnacentral:rRNA from 1 species
GAACCUACCUUCUGGUACGGAACAACCAAGGGAAACUUUGGCUAAUACCGUAUACGACCUCCGGGUGAAAGAUUUAUCGCCGGAAGAGGGGCCCGCGUCCGAUUAGGUAGUUGGUGAGGUAACGGCUCACCAAGCCGACGAUCGGUAGCUGGUCUGAGAGGAUGACCAGCCACCCUGGGACUGAGACACGGCCCACACUCCUACGGGAGGCAGCAGUGGGGAAUAUUGGACAAUGGGCGCAAGCCUGAUCCAGCCAUGCCGCGUGAGUGAUGAAGGCCUUCGGGUUGUAAAGCUCUUUCACCCACGACGAUGAUGACGGUAGUGGGAGAAGAAGCCCCGGCUAACUUCGUGCCACCAGCCGCGGUAAUACUAAGGGGGCAAGCGUUGUUCGGAAUGACUGGGCGUAAAGGGCGCGUAGGCGGUUCGUUGCGUCAGAUGUGAAAGCCCCGGGCUCAACCUGGGAACUGCAUUUGAUACGGGCGAGCUUGAAUCCAAGAGAGGGUGGUGGAAUUCCCAGUGUAGAG